GACGAACGCUGGCGGCGUGCCUAAUACAUGCAAGUCGAACGCAGUGGGGACGGGUGAGUAACACGUGGGUAACCUCCCAUCAGAGGGGGAUACACUUGGAAAAAGGUUCUAAACCCAUACUUGUGGGUGGGACCCCGGGUCAUUAGCUAGUUGGGGGGGUAACGGCUCACCAAGGCCACGAUGCAUAGCCGACCUGAGAGGGUGAUCGGCCACAAUGGGACUGAGACACGGCCCAGACUCCUACGGGAGGCAGCAGUAGGGAAUCUUCGGCAAUGGACGAAAGUCUGACCGAGCAACGCCGCGUGAGUGAAGAAGGUUUUCGGAUCGUAAAACUCUGUUGUUAGAGAAGCGGUAUCUAACCAGAAAGCCACGGCUAACUACGUGCCAGCCGCCGCGGUAAUUC
rnacentral:rRNA from 1 species